CAGCCGCCGCGGUAAUACGAAGGGUGCAAGCGUUAAUCGGAAUUACUGGGCGUAAAGCGUGCGUAGGCGGUGAGUUAAGUCUGCUGUGAAAUCCCCGGGCUUAACCUGGGAACUGCAUUUGUGACUGGCGAGCUAGAGUAUGGCAGAGGGGGGUAGAAUUCCACGUGUAGCAGUGAAAUGCGUAGAGAUGUGGAGGACUACCGAUGGCGAAGGCAGCCCCCUGGGCCAAUACUGACGCUCAUGCACGAAAGCGUGGGGAGCAAACAGGAUUAGAUACCCCGGUAGUCCCUGUCUCUUAUCC
rnacentral:rRNA from 1 species